rnacentral:lncRNA from 1 species
ACUCGAGGUUGUGGAAGCCGCGUGCCUGGGGCGUAGACAGGGCUUAGAUCUUUUAGAAGAAACCGACUGCGGUAAACCCUCUGGACUACGCCGGGUCCUCGGAAGCUGUGCGCUAACCAAAAUCCCCGACGCUGGCAGUUGCCAUUGUUCCCCAGAGGCAUCCAUACUAAUGGGACCCAAGUAUUGUGCAGCUUCAUUUUACAGUGAGGAACUCGGUCUAUGCAGGAUAGGGAACUCCACAUGGACCACAGAAGGCAAAAGCCUGCUGCUUUUCUGUGCAGGGUAGAGUGUACUAAGUUAGCAUCCUGUGAUGUACUUGCCCCAGCCAGCAACAGCAGAGAAGCACACAGGUAACACAGCUCCUUGAAGUUGGCCCCUCCAGUGUUGUGUCAUUUGCCUUUCUUUUCUCAAGGGUUGUUGAAGAACCAAGUUUCAUGCCCAAUGGUAUCCUGAAGUGGACAUAUACAGUGAUGGCCUGAGAGUCAUCUGGCCAGUGCUCCCAGGCAUUGCCUGCCAGUAGCCCCAACCACAUCUGUGCAGCACAGUCCUCAGGACCUACACAAACAUCCCUUGAAAAAAAACAACAGUGUCUUUGUGGGUUUUAGGGGUUUUUUGUUGUUGUUUUUUUUUUUUAAGAUUCAUUUAUUUAUUAUAUGUAAUAGUCUAUAGACAAAAAUUUACAAAGCUCACUGAACUUAAAAGACUCUGGAAGUGUUGAUUAGCAAGAAAGCUGUGCUUUCAAACCAAAACAUGCCACAGAUGGCACCCAAAAGCAGGCAAUCUGUGAGCCUUCAGUGUGCUGUACACUCCUGGCUGACAUUGUUUAGAACACCCAUGAACAGAAUGAGUGCUACAGGACAUGCUCUCGGAGAAACAGUCUCUUCAUCUUCCUUGCCUAAUGCCUCGAUAAGCCAGGGAGCCUGGUGGGGUUCCCAGUGUCAUUAGCCAUGUGGAUCAUGUGGUCUCCUGGGAUGUCUGGUUAAGGUAGCCUCAAAGUUUCCCACUCACAACUUUCUUGGAGAAAGGACAGUGGGGCAGAUCCCUCAACCACUGUCACCACUUAUAAAAAGCAUUUCCCUUAUAAAUGGGACCCACCUGCUCCCUAAGGAAUUUCUAGCACCUAAGUAGCCUGUCACAAUCCAAGUGUCUCUGCCUGCCCUGAAAUAAGCCAAGAGCUCUGAUAAGCAGAGCAUGUCACAACUUGACCCAGGAGAUGAAAAACCCAGCCUGGGUACAAGCAGCACGCAGACUACUCACUGUACCCCAUAAAGCACUCCAGAGCAUGGAACUGCAGCAGAAAUUGACAUCUGCGUGCACAGCUAACCGCUUCAGCAACAGAAGCUACCUGAGAGCAAAGAGUAUGGCUCAGUACAACACCCACACACUGUCCUUUUGCUUUUGGUCAGGAGCAGAGAAGCAAAAUGGACUCCACAGACUGUCCAGUGCACGGGGCCUUCUUGAGUGCAUGAAGCUCCCAUGAGUGUCAUCUGUGAGUUUGCCACUGCUCUACCCAUGUAACUGGAAAACUUGUAAGCCAGACACAACUUUCCAUUUCUACCAUCAAUCCUCACAGGAGGGUUUUGGUUACCAAGUGUCUGAGGACAGCAAGUUGGGUGGGAGUCCUCCACCUGGCCUCUCUUUGAUAGAAGAGUUGCUAAGAACACCAGCUGCAGGAGACUGGAAAUGACCCAACACCAGGGGAGGAAACACAGUACUUGGUCCACACCUUGUGCAGAAGGCAGAUCUCAAACAAGAGCAAGCCAGCUUUCCAGGAACUGUUAAGAAGCAGGCUCCAGAGCCAGCUGAACACAGGCAGUGAAGCUGUGUGUAUACUCAGGCUGUUAAGAACAGAUGGUGGGAGCCACCUGGUAUCCUGCACUAGCUCAAAGCACAACCAGGUGCCUGCCUGAGCCCAGCUCCUCUCCCAGGAGCCUGGGAAACCACAGACAACAUAUUGUGCACUAACCAGGCCGUGCAGAAACACCCACAGGAACCUGGCUUCUAGGGCAGCUCCAUGAUACAGAAAGUCCCUACAUGCCUGCCUAUGUACACACCAUACACAUGAAUAAGUAAAUAAAUAUUAUUUAUAUAAAUAGCUUUUUACAGCCCAUCCUGCUGUCCUCAGACACUUGGUCACCAUAACCCCAUCUGCCUGAGACCAAUGGCAUAGAACUUACUAUACAAUUCACCUAGAACUGACUUCCACAUCUGCUGGGAUCAGAGCAGCUGAAGGUGACCAAAGCACUUUGGAGGCACCACACAAGGACAGCUCCCUGUCACCUAGUGGAAACAAGAUGCAUUACCUGGGGACAGGCAGGCAGUGCUCAGGGACCAAGCACCAUAAGCUCCACUCAGCAUGACAUGUGUCUCUAUACACACCAGGGUGCCAGCUAGCCUGGCUCAUGACCAACCUCAUCUGCUCCCUGUGCAGUUGGCACAUACCUGCCUCCAUAAUGUUGGUGUCAUCAGUAAGAUGAGGACACUUGUGUGAACAAGCAAGGAAAGAAAGCAGUAGAGAGGAGAGGAGAUGGGGCAGGUAGUGGCUAUCAUCUGAAAAGCAGGGUAAGUGGGUAGAGUAAGGCUAAAAGGGAAAGCCCAAACCACAGUAAACAGAUGAAGCAUGGGCAGAUAGCCCUGGAGAACCCCAGUCACUGAAAAGAGCAGUCAGUUCUAAUCAGCUCUAGGCAGGAGGUUCUGGCCAAUGCAAGUGGGCAAGAAAAAGGAAGAAGAGGCCUUCCAAACAGGAAUGAGGAAUGAGUGCCCACACCCUGCAUUCAUGUUAGUUCUUGGGAAGCACUUAGGGCAUCUGAGCAGAGAUACAGGACAAAGCAUUUCCACCACAGGUUCCCAAGCUAAAGACUCCAAGUCAAACCCCUACUGACAAAUAAAUAUGAAAGGCCCAAGAGAUGACUCAGUGAGUAAAAGUGUGCACAACCAAGCCUGACAACCCAAGUUUAAUCUCAUAUCCGCAGGUUGUCCCAUGACCUCCACUUAUGCACAUGCACAAAAUAAAUUAAUGUUAAAUU